rnacentral:rRNA from 1 species
AAUGGGGAAACCCAGCAUGAGUUAUGUCAUGUUAUCGAUAUGUGAAUACAUAGCAUAUCAGAAGGCACACCCGGAGAACUGAAACAUCUUAGUACCCGGAGGAAGAGAAAGAAAAUUCGAUUCCCUUAGUAGCGGCGAGCGAAACGGGAAGAGCCCAAACCAACAAGCUUGCUUGUUGGGGUUGUAGGACACUCUAUACGGAGUUACAAAGGACGACAUUAGACGAAUCAUCUGGAAAGAUGAAUCAAAGAAGGUAAUAAUCCUGUAGUCGAAAAUGUUGUCUCUCUUGAGUGGAUCCUGAGUACGACGGAGCACGUGAAAUUCCGUCGGAAUCUGGGAGGACCAUCUCCUAAGGCUAAAUACUCUCUAGUGACCGAUAGUGAACCAGUACCGUGAGGGAAAGGUGAAAAGCACCCCGGAAGGGGAGUGAAAUAGAACCUGAAACCGUGUGCUUACAAGUAGUCAGAGCCCGUUAAUGGGUGAUGGCGUGCCUUUUGUAGAAUGAACCGGCGAGUUACGAUUUGAUGCAAGGUUAAGCAGUAA